UUCGGGUCUGUGGUUGAAAACCGAUGCCAGUCGCAGGCAAAACGGUCCACGUAACCCGGGCAAAGUACCGGUGAGCAUGGUGCGGCUUAGAAGUAAGUCCGUCCGAAGGCGGGUCAUCCGCUUUCGAGAAGCCGAGUUGUGAGGGGCGUGAAGCCUAUUAGCUAAAGGUUCAGACGGCGAGUGUGGGGGCAAAAACCAGGUCAGCCGAG
rnacentral:ncRNA from 1 species